UUACAGGGCGCUCUUUAUUUAUCGCGAGCUCUGUCUUUUAGGGUUUAUUUGUGAAGGGCCCUGUCUUACAGAUAGUUUACAGGUCGGCUCAGUAUUCGGGUGCAUGAAGAGGGAAAAAAGCCUUGAAAGUGCCGUUUUUUUUUGCAUGGCAAGCUGCUGAAUACGAACCAGUCUCACACCAUUGCCAUCACCUUGCCCUUGUGAAGGCAGAUAUGGAUAAAGUUUUCAAAGCUGAUAGAAAAUUGAAAGCACUCGCAUCCUGUGACAAUGAUUCUGAUGUCGGUAACUGGAAAGCCUCCAUUGUUGGAGGACGAGAAGCCAUAUCCAAUUGAAGCAGCAUAGGCUUUUGCGAUGACUGUGGAAACCACUGCUUAUGCCUUGCUUCAAGCAUUGUCAAGGAAUGAUACUGACUAUGCAACACCGAUUGCGAGGUGGCUAACGAUGCAACAGAACU